UCUGGAAACACAAGAGAGUUUAGGAGCACGCUGGAAACAUUUUUUUUAAGGAAAUUGCAAUGUAGACCCUUUUAAUUAUCGAAAAUUGCAUAUACCACACCUUUUUCCAUUAACGAUGGAUGCUCUAACGAUGGAAGACUGUUUAGCUUCGCUCUGCACACUUGGAUGACCUGAUAAGAUCCGUUAAGAAUCUAAGGCUACUCUUUUAUCUCUUACAGUCUGGCCUUGAAUCUAAGAUUAAUCUAACGUACUUUGGGGAGGAACCCUAAUCAGAUUCAUAAUCUAAGGUUCUGCAAUUGUUGGUGUCUUCUUAUGCAGAAUCAAUGGCUAAUCUAAGGAAAACUUUGACUAGCACGGAUUGUAAUUCAGAGAUUUCAGACUCUUAACUCUAUCAAAAGCCACUGUACCUUUUCAUCCUUCAAUGCAUCCCUUGCAGUACUUUUUGCACCGAUCAAAAACUGCGGAAAGAAAGCAGAGCUGCAAUCCUUUGUGGUCUACUGUCCAUCUUCUCAUCUCCUCUUCUGCAGAAUAUACCAAUGUUCCAUCAGAUCUUUAAUUAUUUAACCAAUUUCUGCUUCUCUUCUUGUGCACAGACUGCAACCAGUCUGCAAAACCACUUCCAAAGAGAUCACUUCAAUGCUUUGCUUUAUCAUAUCACUCGAGCUGAUUAUCCUUUUAUUCAUCCUACUUACAUUAUGAAAGAUCUGACUUGAUAUCGUUGAAGCUGUGCUUUUCAUAGAAGUUACUUCCAAAGUUCCAGAUUGGUGUAUUGUUCUGUUUGCUAUGUGGCAGGUCUGUGCUGUCUAAUAAAGUCUUAAUACAGUCUCUUAUUUACCAGAGAUUGCAGCAACAACUGUGCAGGCUGCCUUUAAAGGCUACUUGGUAAUAUUUUUAAUCUCUUGGUGUGUUUGUUUUUUAAAUACAGUCUAAAUGAUAACGUGUUCCUAAUAAACUCUCAAUAUUAAGUACUUCCUAAUAUACUCUCAAUGAUAAGCACUUCCUAAUACACUCUCAAUGAUAACGUCUUCCUAAUAAACUCUCAAUGUUAAGCACUUCCUAAUACACUCUCAAUGAUAACGUCUUCCUAAUAAACUCUCAAUGUUAAGUACUUCCUAAUAUACUCUCAAUGAUAAGCACUUCCUAAUACAGCCAGAGUCUGGAGAAGCUCCUGAAAUCUGUUUUGCAGAAUCACAGAAAUCUGUUUUGCAGAAUCACACUUCCUAAUUUAGCUUCUGAAAUCUAUCACACGAUGUUUGAUGUCACUCGAUGUUGUUAAUUCAAACACAUUUUCCUGGCAGUGUUUGAUAUCCUAUCAUUGUCAAAUACAAACAAAAUAUGCCAAAUCAUCAUAAUAGUUUAGUAUUUUCAAUUAAAAAUAAAAACAUAAUAAAAAAAAUCUAUAAAACGAAAUUUAAAAGUAUCUAUAAAACUAAUUAACUAACUUCAUUUCUAUAUGCUAACUCCUUCAAAAAUCAAAAUAAAAAAAUUUGAUAAUUAAUGUGUUUUCAAACUGUUUUUCUUUCCAUUUGUUUCUCAUUGCAUCCUAUACUGGUUUAUUUCGAGCUUGCAUACUGAAAGCGAAAAGAAAAAAUCAUUUUGCAUAAUUUAAUAGCAUUUGAUUCUUUCCAAGCCAGUCCAUGCCUAAUAUCACCUCGUGAUUCUCAAGGCGGACAACAAUCAGAUCCGCAUGCAAUACCUUGUCUUUGAUCAUUACCGAUAUGUCUUUUACCACCCUUAGUGAAUGCAUCAUCUCUAGUAUCGAAAAAUACAUGGGUUUUCACCCCACCAAUAAGCGUAAUUGAGCCGGUUAAGUCCAAUAGUUUCUAAAUCUUUUUCAAUCAUUAGAGGUUCAUACCCUCCUCCUCCAAACUCUCCAGCUCCUUGGCCUCCUCGGUAUUAACUCGGUACGCAGCUCGGUUCGCGCCUGGUACAAAGUCAAUCUGAUGUUCUAUUCCGCGGAUGGGGGGUAAACCGGCUGGUAUCUCUUCAGGAAAGACGUCCUUGUACUGGUCCAUAAGGACUUGUACCUCAGCUGGUACGUCUUGGACCUCAAAACCUGCAAAACAACCUUCCUUAAAGAUCAUUAGUAGCACUUGCGUUUCAUGAUGUAAAGAUUUAAGCACUUGACCAGAAGUAAUAUAAAGGUUAGUCUUACUUACCUUGCUGGACUGGUCCAUUGCCUUUUGCAUAUCAUGAACAUCUUGUGGACUGAGUGGUGCUAGGCUAUGCUUCUUGUUGUUGUGGUUGAAGCUGUAGAUGUUGGUUUUGGUUUCCCUGACCCAUGAGAUUCAUUUGUGCAGUCAAGGCGUUAAGGGUUUCUGCGAGCUGAGCUUAUCCGGCCUGCAAGGCUUGGAGUUGGGCGUUGAUCUCAGCUGCACCAUUUAGGUCUCCCAUAUCUCCUGGAACUAAGAGAGAAAAGAAAGAUCAAAGAGAGAUUCUUAUGAGUUUUCUUAUGAGUUUAAAAUGAAGAACAUAAAGUAAACUAAUAAGAAAAAUAAGAACAGAAGCAAAUAUGAUUUUAAUGGGAUUUUCAGAUGCAGAAUAAAUGAUAUAAAAACUGAAACAAAAUGAAAUAAAAAUCAAGAACAAGGAUAGAGAGAUGGUGGAUGGAUUCAAGUUGCUGGACUGAAGUCUCUCUCAACAAGAACAGUGGAUGGAGAUGGAUAGAUGUGGGAUUUGCUUGCUGGACUGAAGUCACUCUCAAGGCAAAUCAAUGGGUGAUGAUGGAGUGUAGAUCGCCACAAACUUUGAUGGAGGAAAGCUUGAUAAGAUCUUGAAAUGCUCUCUGGCUGCUUCUCACAAACUAGAAAGACUUUAGGGUUUUGUUUGCUUCAGCAAAGAAAUUUCAUAAAAGACUAAGUGCCAAAAAUCGGCCAGCACAAAGAGUUAUAUAGGGAACUCCCUAAUGGACUCAAAAACAUAAAAGGCUUAAGCAAGAAAUAAAAUAAAACAAGGCCAAUCGGGUCUUCAAUCUUCAAACCAGACAUCUCUUAAAUCAAUAGCUGUUUGAGACCUUGAUCAAUCAGUUCUUGAACCGCUUUGGUGAACCCAUUCCUUAACCUUGCUGAACCUGAUCUCGUAGUCGGACCCUUAUGCACUUGGGGAACCUCAGCUUGAGUGACCACAACAAACCCCUUCUAUCGGACCGACCCUUGAAGCAAAAUAGAAAUUUUCCACCUAAGGGGAAACUUCCAUUGUUCUUAUUAUGGAAGAGUUCGCCCUACUUCAAGCCGACAUCUACAUCUAUAAAAGGGGAGCCCAAACCCUAGAUCGACAUUCAGAGGCUAAGAGGUUAGAGUUUAGGCGACUAAAACUAGGGUUUAUAAACCAAACGUUGUAGUCCUGAAUCAUAUACUCAAUAAUACAUCUCUUCUCGCCUCGAUUUCUUAUUCUUGAUUCAAGUCUUCUAGUGUUCCGUAGUACUAAAACGACCCUACACAAAAAUACCAUAACAGUUUGGGGCUAGAAGGAGGGGAGUAAUCCAACUACGUGACGAUGACGCCAGAUGACGGUAGCAAUCAAACCAAGACUACUCCGAGGGAACUCGAGCUCCUUAACCGGCUCGAAACCCUUCAAAGUCAAAUCACCGAACUCUACAAGCUAAAGAGACGACGUCUGGAGGUCCGGAACUUAUCCAAGAUGUUCAAACUCUAAAAGACCAGCUUGGAGAACACUCCAAGCAGCUGCAGCAAAGCCCCGAGAAGCUAGACGCUAUGGAGGCCGAAAACCUAUGGCUUCGCUCAGCCCCGCCCCGAGACGACGGUGGAGCACUUCGACGAUCCACCGCCAUGGAUAGCGAACCCGAAGGCCGGGAGAGUGCUCAGGAUGGAACCCGAGUACAAGUAGACAGCGACUCCGAUAUGGAAGACGAGGAGUACUCACCCGAUGAUCCCGCGAUCUCGGAUCCGGCACUAGCCGCCUACCUUGAAAGGGUGGUCUCCGAAAAGUGCGGCACCAUCCAAUCUAUGGUGGAAGGACUUCCAGGGGUAGCUCCCCCUAUUUGGAGAAGCAAUCCCAGGUCUUACUCCGAAACGCCCUUCGUGGAGGAGAUCGCCUCGGUGGAGAUGCCGCACAAGUUCUCCUUCCCUAACAUAAAGAUGUAUGAAGGCACUGGUGACGCAGACAACCACGUUGCUCAGUACAAGCAACAGAUGCUGGCCGUAGCGAUCCCUAGAGAAGCAAGGGAAGCUACCAUGUGCAAAGGAUUCAGGUCAACCCUGACCAGUCCUGCUCUUCAAUGGUACAUCAACCUCCCUACUAGAUCCAUUAGGUCUUUUGCAGCCCUUAGUGAUAAGUUUAUGGAGCAAUUCGCCAGCAGCCAUAAUCUGGAGAGGAACUCGGAUGACCUUUACGAGAUUCUCCAGCAUAGGACUGAACCAUUGCGGGCCUAUAUUGCGCGCUUCAACCAAGAGAAGGUGGCCAUCCCCGAGUGAAAUACGGAUACGGCCAUCUCAACCUUUAAAAGAGGUCUAUUCCCAGAAGGAUAUCUUUACAAAGAUCUGACCAAGUAUAAGUGUAGGACCAUGGAAGAUGUCUUGUCUCGCUCUUGGGCUCAAGUAAGGUGGGAGGAAGACGUCGCAAGCAGAGCCAAAGCCUACCAGAAGCAGGAUCAAAAGCCGUCUAAGCCAGUGAGGAAUGAUCGCUGUUAUGGUAUUUUUGUGUAGGAUCGUUUUAGUACUACGGAACACUAGAAGAUUUGUAAUAGAAAGCAGAAAAUCGAGGCUAGAAGAUAUGUUUAUUGAGUGUUUGAUUCGGGAGUACAAUGUUUGGUGUAUAAACCUAGUUUUGUCGCCAAAACUCUAAUCUCUUAGCCUCUAGAAUUGUCGAUCCCUUAUUCUAGGGUUUGAGCUCCCCUUUUAUAGUUGCAGAUGUCGGCUUUAAGUAAUAGAACUCUUCCAUAAUUGGAAAAAUGGAAGUUUCCCCUUAGGCGGAAAACUUCUAUUUUGCUUCAAGGGUCGGUCCGAUCAAGGGGUCGGACCUAUGGCAGGGGUUGGUCCCUGGUUUCUUCUUGAGCAAGGGUCCCGAAAUCGUGGGCCUAUCCGGAAGCUGGAGAAAACUUACGUCUGUAUAUUUUUCCCCAACAGUUUUCCCCUUAUUCCUUGAUUUGCUCGUGGAAAUCAAGGGAUAACUUGUGCUCUUGAAUCUUGGUAGUUUUCUCUUAGGAUGGAGUCUUCCUUGGGCAUCUUGUCUUCUUGCAAUGAAUCAGGUCGUGACCUUUGCUGAGGAUUGAGACAAUCUAGCGGGGUACGAUCCAUGCUGUAGAACGGGCUCCUUAUUGUAAAAAGGAAAUAAGGAGAAGCCCUAGCCGCCACGCCGGACAGACCAUGGUGCGGGGAGAUGGGCUGGCCAGGUUGUAAAGACCUAAUGGCAAGCGUAUCAUGGUCUAAACUAAGGGUUAAGUGCAUCAGGAAGCUGAGACUUGACCGGAAUAAGAAGUAAAGAAGGAAAUGGUAGCUGGAUGAGGGAUCCGGAAGCUGGACAUGGUCCGGAAGCAGCUCAAUCAGCUAGGGGGAGCUGGUAGGGAGCUCACACAGUCUUGGGCAGCUCACAGGAGCUGGGGGAGUAGCUCACUCAGCUCAGGCAACUAGUACUCAGCUGAACUCAGCUGGACGGAGUGAUGGAGUCUUGACCGGUCAUUGCGGACCAUGAGUAAUGAUCAUGGACCGGAUGCUGGUUGUGGGUGUCCGUUGGGUCUAGGUUGCAUGGGCAAGGGAGCUGAGCUUGUGGGUAAACAGUUGGGCUUGAGAUCGAUCAGCCCAAAGGAAGAAAGGGGCGGUUUGCAAGCGGUUGGGCGGUUUUGGGCGAAAAGGUGUCCGUUGGCCAAAUGACCAAUCACAUCGCCCGGACGGUUGCCAAGCCUCUUCCCUAUAAAUAACCCUCUCCUCUGUCGACAUAAAUCAUCAGAAACAGAAGGGGAAACUCUGCCCAAAUCUCUACAGAAUGAAAGAGAGAAAAGAGAAGUGAGACCGCAAAGGCAGUCCGUGUGAAGCAAGGGAGAUUCCGGUGGGUUCUAAGCCGUGGGCAAGUGAAGCUUGAUCGGAAAUGGAUACCAGAGGAAAGGAGAAGGCUGCAGAGAAGAGUGUGGGGGCUUCCGAACACACGCCUAAGGUACUGGAUGCAAACCAAGUACAAACCGCCAUGAAUCAUCCAUCCGGGUGGUUUGGCCGUUUGAUCCAUGAGUGGAUGGUUGCAUCUAUUGUUCUUAUUCUGUCAAUAUAUCUCUUCUCCAUCAUA